GUAGGUGGCAAGCGUUGUCCGGAAUUAUUGGGCGUAAAGCGCGCGCAGGCGGUCCUUUAAGUCUGAUGUGAAAGCCCACGGCUCAACCGUGGAGGGUCAUUGGAAACUGGGGGACUUGAGUACAGAAGAGGAAAGCGGAAUUCCAAGUGUAGCGGUGAAAUGCGUAGAGAUUUGGAGGAACACCAGUGGCGAAGGCGGCUUUCUGGUCUGUAACUGACGCUGAGGCGCGAAAGCGUGGGGAGCAAACAGGGAUUAGAUACCCUGGUAGUCCACGCAGUAAACGAUGAGUGCUAAGUGUUAGGGGGUUUCCGCCCCCCUUAGUGCUGCAGCUAACGCAUUAAGCACUCCGCCUGGGAUACGGCCGCAAGGCUG
rnacentral:rRNA from 1 species